rnacentral:pre_miRNA from 1 species
CUACUACUCCCUCCGUCCCAUAUUAAGUGUCUCAAAUUUUCCCAAACAUGGAUGUAUCUAUAGCUAAAAAACGUCUAGAUACAUGUAAUAUUUUGACACUUAAUAUGGGACGGAGGGAGUAUAAG